rnacentral:lncRNA from 1 species
CCUGUGUUCUAGAGAAUUGGACCAGCUUGCCCUAGACCAGCUACACCAGUGGCGCGUUCCUGGCUUAGGCUGAAGGCAAGCUGCAAUGGUUUCAUGAUUGAUGAUGAUUUUCAAGGAUGGGAAGGCCAUCAAGUGCCCUUUGGGAAUAACCAUUGGCAGCAUGGAGGUAUUGCUCUGCAUUCUGUCACCUGUUCAAGUGACAAAGCCAACACUGCUGAAUUAAAAUUUAGACAUACAAAAAUGAUGUGGAGCAAACUAAUUCUCAAGCUGGCUAAAAGUUAAAGAAGACUGGCCAGAGAAUGGAGCAUGUGUUUAUGAGAAUGCCAAAACAUCGUGCCAGAGCUUAGCUUUGAUGUCAAAUAUAUUCAAGUCCACACGUUUGCUGUGUGGUUCCAGUUAGCUGCACUCUUCCUUAGAUGCUGUGGGGAGCCUCCAGGACAGACACGCUGCUGGUAAAUCAUCGUGAGGGGGACGUGCUUCACUCUGAUCUUCUCUGACAGGCUUUUCCCACACAGGGCCCAGCGGCCCGAGGUGGUUACUGAAGAGAGAUUCUAUAAUCAACAGCUGGGUCCUGAUACUUUGCCAAUCUGUGCUCAUAAAAC